UACGGAGGAUCCGAGCGUUAUCCGGAUUUAUUGGGUUUAAAGGGUGCGCAGGCGGGAGAUUAAGUCGGCGGUGAAAUUUUGCAGCUCAACUGUAAAAGUGCCUUCGAAACUGGUUUCCUUGAGUGUAGAUGAAGUAGGCGGAAUUUGUGGUGUAGCGGUGAAAUGCAUAGAGAUCACACAGAAUAUCGAUUGCGAAGGCAGCUCACAAAGCCAAGAUUGACGCUGAGGCACGAAAGUGUGGGGAUCAAACAGGAUUAGA
rnacentral:rRNA from 1 species